AUGCAGAACAUGAGGCAAGUGUGGGCUUCUCGGCCGGAAGUUCCUCUCUAAUUUCUGGGGAACAGCCUUAAGGCCUGUUUUCUGAAAAAGACCUCUGUGUCUCUCAUCUGGGAAGUGGGAUGAUAGCGCCAACCUAGCUGGAUUGCUGUGACUGCCAGCACAAUGCCUUCUAAGGGUUCAAGAUGAGAUUACUUAGUCCCAGAUGGGUUAAGUAACUGGCCCAAGGUCACAGCGCUGGUAAGCAACUGGGCUUCAAUCCAACCAUCCUGACUCCAGAAGCCUCUUUGAACUACCACCUUCUGCACCUGCCCCAGGGCUUCUUCGCCUGAGCCGGUGCCUUGCUGCCGCCCUGCUCAUCUCUUCUGGGAAGAUGCCUCUCAUCUUGCCAGUCCUCAAGCCAGAAGCCUCCGGUGCUGCCCUAGGGCUCCCUGAAUAGGCAUCCCUAAGGCAUCCCUCCUGGUGUUCAAACCACAUCCUUCCUGGCUAAGCUUCCAUUCCCCAGGGUAGCCCUCCACACUUUGGAGCCUCAGCUCACCUCUCACUCUCACACUUCAGUUUCACACUUCCCUUCUGAAUGGUCCCACCUCUGUGCUUUUGCUUAAGCUGUGCACACUUCCCAGAGUGCUCUUUCCCCUAUGUCUGCCUGUGCUCCAAUACCCUAUGCCUGAGCUGACCCAUGACAUACAAGCACCUACAGAGGCCUGGGGGAAGGAGGCAGUGGUAUGUGUGUCAGUGUGGGGAGUCAGUGAAGAGGUUUGGGGCUUUAGGGUCAGUUAUGUGACUUCAGGGCAAGUCCCCAUCUCCCUGAACCCCAGUUUCUGCAAAAUGAAGAUAUCCAUCCCAGCU
ensembl:lncRNA novel transcript